rnacentral:rRNA from 1 species
CCCUUAGAUGUCCUGGGCCGCACGCGCGCUACACUGACAUGUUCAACAAGCCUCCUAGUUCGACAGGAUUUGGGAAAUCUUUGAACGCAUGUCGUGAUAGGGAUAGAUCAUUGCAAUUAUUGAUCUUGAACGAGGAAUUCCUAGUAAACGCGAGUCAUCAGCUCGCAUUGAUUACGUCCCUGCCCUUUGUACACACCGCCCGUCGCACCUACCGAUUGAAUGUUUCGGUGAAGAUUCCGGAUAGGACUUUUUUGAUUUAUUUCAAUUUUGUCUUAAAAGCUAUCUAAACCUCAACAUUUAGAGGAAGGUGGAGUCGUAACA